rnacentral:lncRNA from 1 species
GCCGGUACCACACCGGUACCCCAAGGACUUACCGAACGUGACCUUUUGUAGGUAUUCACCCCUCUGCAGUAGAACAUCUACCGAGGACAGUCACCUACCGAAGGCCUAAAAUCACUAAGUUGACGAAAUACGUGCAGAACCACUUUUUCGCAUCAUCAGUUUGGCGCCGUCUGUGGGAAACCGAAAAAAAAUUAACAACCCACCAUCUCCAAAACACAUGGGGACCAUUUCAGUACCCACGUUCUUAUCGGAAGAAGGCGUACCGUUCGGAAGGCAGAGCGGAGCUAGCCCAGCGCUACCCCCAUGCACUCCCUUCGAGAAUGCCCCCGCAACCCAAACAGCCGCCAAAGCCGAGCUGGCAGUCCAAAUCGCGUCCUCACGAAAAGACAUGGCGAGGCUUCAGGAGCACAACAAUUUUCUUUCGUCCAAAGUGGACGAAACCCAGCAGCUGCUCCACCAGCAGCACACCCAGAACAUCCAGACGACACGCUCUUCCGAGAGCUUGCAGACCCCCCAUAGGAAGAAGAAACGCGAGAAGGUACAGAAGGCAACGCCCGCACCUUCCAGAGAGUUGGUAGUUCCAGCACCCAGGGAUCAGCCGCCCGUCCCCAAGAAAGUCUACACCGAUUGUCGACAUUGGAUUAACGAUCGGGAGGCAGAGAGACAGAGGUCUCCGAUCAGGAUUAGCGCUCGACAAAGGGACUCACGGACGAAAAUCCUAGGAGACAAGUCGCCUAUUCGGAAGGUCAGAGGGCUAGACCCCGCAGAAGAGUCGGGAUCCGAAUAUAUCCCUUCCCAGACGCAAACUUCCACCUACCAUUCGGCAACGCCUUCACAGUACGCGGGGGUUGAUCCAUCAAACCUACGAAGGCGAUCGGAAGAUUACGGUUCCGAGGAAAUCCCUAGCCGAGACCCCGUUGUCCGAGUCUUUUUUUAAAAAGUCCAGAAAAUGGAAAACGACAACGCCCGCUCCCAAGGACCGGAGUGGGGAAAACUUCGGCCAGGACCGUUCACCAGGCACAUCCGAGACUCUCAGCAGGAUCGGGAAGGGCAGCAACUGCGUAUACCAUUCUAUACGGGAACGGAAGACCCAUUAACACACCUCCACUCAUUUCAGUCCGCCAAUGGAUGCAAGGGCCUGAGCGAUGAAGGGCAGUGCCUGCUAUUCCCGUCCUCUCUUACCGGGGCAGCCCUGAACUGGUUCUACCGGUUGGAGCCGGAAACGGUAGACUCAUUCGACGAGCUGAAGCAGAUUUUCCUCAACCACUUCAUGAUCCAAACGGACCGUCUUUACUCUGCCGAUGAUCUGCACACGAUUCGGCAAAGAUAGGACGAACCGUUGAGAGAAUACGUGGUGCGCUUCAGUCACGAGUACUCAAGGUGUCCGAAAACAGACGAUAGGGCAGCCUACGGCACCUUUAAGAGUGGCCUUCGGUCCUCGCAUUUUCGAUACCUAGUACACAGCAGCAACUGGCGCACGUACGACGAACUGAUGAAGCAGGCGGCAAUCCACGCCAAGGCCGAAUAUUUCAACUCGAAACCCACGGCUUCGGCACCGCGAGGAGACGCCGAACCAAGUGCUUUUUCGGCAAAAGCGACACCCUACGAGAGAGCCGACACAUACUCGGCAGGUCAUAAGAGAAAGGACGACCGCGCCGAUUGAAGAGAACACUCGAAGAAAGGGAAAGGGCGGUAUGGUCGCAACGACAACCGAGCGCCACUGCCGAAUCGUGACCACGGCAAUGAAGUCUUCACCUUGUUGAACACUACCUACGAGGCCGUCCUGAUGAACGAACAAGAAAUAAUACCGAAGCCGAAUGCCCGAAGACCCAAUUGGCAAGACAACCGGGAUACCGAUAAAUUCUGCCGAUACCAUCAGCACAACAGCCAUAAUACGGAAGACUGUAUAACCCAGAGAAAAAUUAUCGAACGGUUGAUCAGAGAGGGGAAGCUAGAUCAGUACAUCGCCCGGCAGCCAACGGCGCCGGUGCCGAAUUCAAUUCGGCAGAUAAACAUGAUAAGCACUAUUAGCGGUGGCCCCACCGUCGCAGGAAUGAGCAACCGGUCAAUGAAGCAAUAUGUGCGUGCCGCACAAUUUCCUCAAGUAUUCAGCAUAGAGGUGAAUCGGCACCAGGAAAUCUCGAAAGUUCGUUGGGAACCAAUCACAUUCUGCGAAGAGGAGGAAGAAGGCAUCCUCUAUCCCCAUGACGACCCGAUGAUCGUCCGAGCAGAAAUUGCCAACUACGAUGUAGGAAGAGUGCUGAUCGAUACCGGGAGCUCGGUAAAUGUGAUUUUUUCCGAAGCUGUCCGAGAGAUGGGAAUAAAGGACUGCCAGGUGAACCGGCAGUUGACACCUUUGUUAAGUUUCUCCGGAGAGCUGGUCCAACCGAUCGGUAGUGUAAAACUACCCAUUACCUUCGGUACCACACCAAGGAAAACGACGGUAUACGAUCAAUUCCUCAUCGUUGACUGCCCGACGGCGUACAACGUCAUAGUUGGACGGACGGCACUCACCAAGGUCAAUGCACAUCUUUCCCCCCACAUGCUACUGAUGAAGUUCCCAACCCCCUACGGCACAGGGGCUGUCCGAGGAAAUCAGUUAAGCGCGCGGACUUGCUAUGCCACGGCACUAAAGUCAACCUCUGUCCAAAUCCCCGACGAGACCAUGUCUGUACAGGGGAUACCGAACGGUACGGGACCCGUUGACGACCCUAGGGAUGAGUCCCCGACUCCUCACACACAACCUGCCGAAGAACUGGAAACGAUAACCCUGAGCGACGAGCAGCCCGAUCGUCGGGUUAAAAUCGGCACCAGACUCACCCCUAACCUCCGAGCGCAGUUCAUAGACUUCUUACGGCACCAUUCAGAGGUGUUCGCGUGGUCUUACGAAGAUAUGCCCGGCAUAGAUCUUGAGAUCAUCAGCCAUAAACUCAGCAUUUCCCCCGCUUAUAGGCCUGUAAGACAGAAGCGCCGUUCGUAUGAUGCCAAACGAUACGAAGCGAUGCGCACGGAGGUUGACAAACUUUAAACCAUCGGCUUCAUCAGGGAGACUACGUAUCUGGUAUGGCUAGCAAACUCGGUGAUGGUCCGGAAGGGCACAGGCGGGUGGCGAAUGUGCCAAGACUAUACCGAUUUGAACAAAGCCUGCCCGAAAGACAGCUUCCCGUUGCCACGGAUAGACCAGCUCGUGGACGCCACCGCCGAACACGAACUGCUCAGCUUCAUGGACGCCUAUUCGGGAUACAAUCAGAUAUUCAUGCACCCUCCCGACAGCGAACACACCGCCUUCAUAACGGACAGGGGUUUGUACUGUUACAAUGUCAUGUCGUUCGGCCUGAAGAACGCGGGGGCAACAUAUCAAAGGCUCGUCAACAGAAUCUUCGCCAAGUACAUCGGCAGCAUCAUGGAGGUUUACGUUGACGACAUGCUAGUAAAAAGCAAAACUACCGAAGAACAUCUGCAGAAUCUGUCAGUCAUGUUCGGCGUACUGAAGGACUACCGGAUGAGGCUGAACCCGACGAAGUGCGCCUUCGGUGUAUCUUCCGGGAAAUUCCUCGGGUUCAUGAUUAGUCACAGGGGUAUCGAAGCGAAUCCCGAAAAAAUAAAGGCAAUCAUCGACAUGGAAAGACCGAAGACGACGAAGGACAUUCAAAGCCUUACCGGACGCGUCGCGACCUUGACUCGUUUCAUAUCAAAGGCUACCGACAAAUGUGUACCGUUCUUUAAAGCCUUGAAAGGGGCAAACGGAAUAUCAUAUGGACUGCCGAGUGUGAUAAAACAUUUCAAGACUUAAAGGACUACAUGGGCAGAGCACCCCUCCUGUCAAAACCACUACCUGGGGAGAUUCUCUAUCUAUACCUUUCGGUAUCUAGCACUGCUGUCAGUUCGGUAUUGAUCCAAAAGCCAGAGAGGGCAGAGCUACCGAUUUUUUAUGUUAGCAAGGCACUCCAGAGUGCUGAACUUCGGUAUCCCCCAUUAGAGCAGCUUGCACUAGCCCUGGUGGUCUCGGCACGAAGACUUCGGCCAUACUUCCAAGCAUACGGGAUCAAAGUUCUGACUAACCAACCUCUUCGGCAGGUGCUCUAAAAACCGGAGACUUCUGGCCGAUUGAACAAGUGGGCGAUCGAACUUGGAGAGUUCGAUAUACAAUUCAUGCCUAGGCCCGCCGAAAAGGGUCAAGCCAUUGCCGAUUUCAUCUCCGAGCUCACCCCAUCAACGGCACAGCCGGCACCCGAGCCGGUUAUCGAGAUCGAAUUGUCGGAGGAACUAGACACCGAACGCUUUGACGUCUCAACUCUAGUAUGGAUUCUGCACGUCGAUGGCUCGGCAAACCAACAAGGGUGCGGAGCAGGCUUGGUACUGACAACACCGGAGGGACUCAAGAUCGAGUACGCCCUCCGAUUCGACUUCCGAACCUCCAACAACGAAGCAGAAUAUGAGGCUCUCUUGGCCGGCCUUCGGUUAGCCAAGAGCAUGAAUGCAAAACAAAUCAGAAUUCACAGCGACUCCCAGCUCAUUGUGAACCAGGUAACGGCAGACUUCGCGGCCAGAGACGCUUCCAUGCACGCCUACCUUUCGACCACCCAUCAACUGCUCCAAAGCUUCCGAGCCUACGAGAUCAAGCAGAUCCCCAGCGAAAACAGCCAUGCCGAUGCAUUGGCACGGCUGGCUUCGGCAAUCAAUGAUAAGGUCGGAAGAACGGUGCCGCUGGAGAUUCUUGCUCGACCGAGCACGGUAACUUCUGAAACAUGUACCGUACGGUACGAAGAUACAUGGAUGUCUCCUAUCUACUCGUAUCUGACCAACGGCACCCUUCCAAAAGACAAAGCCCAGGCCAGAAAGCUUAGGUACCGAUCGGCAAGGUACACCGUCAUCAACGACGUCCUUUACAAACAUGGCUACACAACUCCAUAUCUCAAAUGCCUUACGGCAGAACAGAGGGACUACGUCCUUCGGGAGAUCCACAAUGGUGUGUGCGGUGACCAUUCCGGGUCCCGGUCACUCGCCCACAAAACCUUUCGGCAGGGAUACUUUUGGCCGACCAUGCACCAGGACGCUAUCUCGCUAGUGAAAAAAUGUGAUAAAUGCCAGCGUUUCGGCAACAUACCGCACAUCCCUGCCGAACCUCUGACACCGAUCGUAAGUCCUUGGCCUUUCGCACAAUGGGGACUGGACCUGAUCGGUCCAAUGCCACAAGGCAAAGGCCAGGUGAAAUACGCAGUGGUCGCCGUCGACUAUUUCACCAAAUGGGUAGAAGCUGAACCUCUGGCAACCAUAACGGCAGCAAAGAUAGAGGACUUCGUCUGGACUCACAUUUGUUGCAGGUUCAGUAUCCCGUAUGCGAUCAUAACCGACAACGGCAGGCAGUUCGAUUCGGAACUCUUCAGGCAAUUUUGCACCCGCCUGAAAGUCAACCUGUUUUUCGCAUCACCGGCACAUCCCCAGUCAAACGGUCAGGUGGAAGCAAUAAACAAAAUCAUCAAGAAACUACUGAAACGGCAGCUGGACAAAGCCAAAGGAGCCUGGCCAGAAAAGCUUCCCGAAGCACUCUGGGCCAUUCGGACAUCUUACCGAACGUCCACGGGAGAGACCCCUUUCUCUUUGGCUUUCGGUUCGGAGGCUGUGGUGCCCGUGGAAAUCGGCAAACCUUCCUACCGAACGGAAACCUUCGCACCGAAGCCAAAUGAAGAAGCGCUUUCUCUAAACCUCGACCUUCUUGAAGAGCACCGAGCACAUGCCAACCUUCGGAAUGAAGCCUACAAGCAACGUGUCUCUCGGUAUUACGACUCCAGAGUCAGACACCACUCAUCCCGAAUCGGAGAUUGGGUCAUGCGGAAGGUAUCCCUAGCAACCAAGGAAGCCACGGAAGGAACCCUCGGACCUUCCUGGGAAGGACCUUAUGAGAUCAUCGGUAUCCUUCGAUCGGGAACUUACCGCCUAAGAGACUCUAACGGCAAGACCCUCGGUCAUCCUUGGAACGUGGAACAUCUCAAAUACUAUUUCAAGUAACCUAGCCUACGGUAGGACAAAGUUGUAACCUAGCCUACGGCAGGACAAAGUUGUAACCGAUUGAAAUGUAUAUGCCCUUCGGCAGAAAUUAAUCGAAAGCCUUCGGCACUAUUACUUCAGAACAUCUAUUUAAACAACUCAACUAGCCCACGGCAGCCACUAGUGGCGACUUAACGUUCUACGGCAUCUUAUUAGCCUACGGCAAUAAAUGUUUUUCGAAAUUGUUACCCUACAGAUUCCAUCGGAACUUAUCAAUUUCGAAAUCCCUUUAACGUUAUACAUCCUAUACGGAGCCUUUCGGCAAUAGAACGAUCGGCAAUUGCAACAAAAUCAGAUUGUUCAAACAGUGGAGAAAAAUAUGCAUUUAAAUUAGAGAUGCCCUCGGCAUCAAUGUGUUCGGUACAUACAAAAAAAAACAAAUACAAUUAUUACAAAUAAAAAGGCAAGGCCCUCAAGCUUCAUCCCCGGCAGCAGCCUCGGCAGAUCCGGAGCCUUCGGCGGCGUUCUCUCCCUCGUACUCUUCAAUCAUCUCCUCAGUUAUCCCUUCCGGUAGAGGAGGAGGAUCGGCAAUGAAGUUCAGGUUCAGCUUCUGCCCAGGGUUGUACCGUUUGAAUCGGUACAACAGGUCCGCCAGGUCCGCCAUCUCCGCCCGCUUCUGCCCAGGAUCGGCAAUGAACUCUUCAGACGCACGGUACCCCUGGAUCGCCGACCGAACGGCAACCUCGACCUCCGCAGCUUUGGCCCGUUCCGAUUCCACCAAGGCCACCUGCACCGCUGCCUUCGCCCGUUCCGACUCCUCCAGAGCCACCUGCACCCCGUCUUUGGAAGCCUCGGCAUCCUUCGUUGCCUCCAGCGCCGCCUCCAGGAGACCCUUCAUCUCCUCCACCUGCCGUACGGCAGAUUCUUUCUCCUUUGCCAGGUGGGCGUGCUCCUGGAGCGCUUUGCCGGCCUCGGCAACCUUGGCCCUGCCGUCUUCGUACUCCUUCUUGGCGCGCUCAGCAGCAGCAAUGGCCCGCUUGACGCAGAGCAACAUGUCCAUGGACGCCUGCACAAAACAAAUAAGGUUAGAAGCAUGCCCCACUUACAAAAAUAAAAGGACGAAAGAAGAAAAGCAAUCUUACCGAGGCCUGGAGCCGGAAGGCGCGCCCAGCCUCCUCCCGAAGAAACUUCUUCGGUAGCUCGUCGAUCUCCGGCAGCUCCAUUUGAGAGCCGAGGAUCAUAUGGUUGACGAAUUGGAUCGUUUUCGCCGGGCAGGCGAUGGUGACAGCCUCGGAAGGACCGUCCUCGUCCUCCACCGCAAGGACGGCCCUGGAAACCUCCGACUGGCGAGGACGCUUGGGGGCUGGCUCGGCCUCCAGAUCAACCAUCUCCGGUCGCUUGCCGGCAGCCUUGGAGGUGGCGGCUUCGGCGUCCCGAUGCCUCGGUGCGUCGACUUCAUCAGCAGGGCGCCUCGGAAGAGGCUCGGCAUCAAGCUGUCGAAGACGCUCAGCAAGGGUAUGAUCCUCCGGAUCCACCACCGCCUGCCGAACGGAAGCUGCCUCAUGCUGUUUUUUCUUUUUCUUGCCCUCCAGGCCCAUCAUCAGGCGCCUCCUAGAGGACUCAUUUAUCUUCUUCGCCUCGGCAGCCUUCCUAGCGCCCGUCACUGGUCAAAGGCAAUGGGUCAGUCGGCAAGCAAAAGCAAAAAAAAAAAAAAAAAAAAAAAGGACAAGUAUACUUACUCUCGGCAGGGUUAACAAGGCCGGCUCUGACGAGGUUGUCGGUGAAGAGGAAGCGUGGAUAAACUCGCUCGGCAGCGGGUACUCUCGACCUCACUCUGUCCAGCUGCCGGAUCUCACUCGGCUUGGGGCUCGGCUGCUUGAGUUUGCCUGUCAAACGAAAAAAAAAUUAAUAAAAUACAACAAGGGAGAAGAGAAGCCAGCCUACCGAUCGGUAGUUCGAAAACCUACCAGCAAUCUGGAAUGUCGUGGGGACCGGGAAGCUAGGGGGUGUUCCCGAUGGCGAUUCCCAAUCACCGGAGAGCAGCACCCGCCGAUUCCUCCACGACUUCUGAGAAGUCGGCACCGAGCUGAUGAAAUUCCCCCGCUCGGAAGCCUUCAGCCAGUUCGCCUGAACCCAGCCGCCGUGAUCGGCGCUCUUGGACUUGGUGACGCUGUACAGAUAGGAGAACUGCUCGUAGGAAGGCUCCCCCUCCUCGGCAAUCCCGAACGCAGCGAUCACCCCCAUCAAGGCCACCCAGAAGUUGGGGUUGUACUGGCCGGGAGCAUACCCGAUCUGGGCAAGGAUCUUCUACACUGCAGGUUGCAACGGCAACCGAACCCCUUGCAGAAGAACGUCGGUGAAGAAGGUCACUUCACCGUUCGCUGGGUCGCUGAGGGAUUCGACGGGGCUCGGUAUCCUCAUCCUCACCGAGGCUAGAAUGAGGUACUCGGCCCUGAUCUUCUCCAACUCCCGUUCGGUGAUCUUAUUGGGCUCCAGGUAGUCGACCCCGAACAGAGUCUUAUGGGGCACACCCACCGGUACCCUAGGCGGCCCUCGUUGGACGAUGGUUACCUUCGGCCGGGAGGGACCGGCAGGGCCCUCACUACGACCGGAGGUGGAGGCCUCAGGCUGGUGCUCGAACGGCCCGACACGGGUACCGUCCUUGUACACCGCAGCCAAGGGUAGCGGUUGCCCCGUCAUAAGCCCCUUGCCGAUGCCAUGGGUGGGAACGGAGUUCACCUCCUCACCGAAUAACUCGGUAUCGGUGUCUUCUCCACCCUCGGUGCCGAGGCUCACGGCCACGCUGGACGUAUCCCAGCCCGAAGACAACUCCCCAUCGAAAGCGUUGGGCUCACUACCGAACAGCGACUCGCUAUCGGACAUCUACAAAACAGAGAAAGGGAAGCUAAGGCACGUGCCACAAACUACCCUACCGAUACCUACAUCGCUACCUAUGGCCACUAGACUACCGAAGGAAAAUCCUACUUAACGAUCGGCUAGCCUACGCCAUGGAAAGACGUAUAAUUACAUAAAGAGAGAAUAUUCAGGGGGUACCGAACAGUAUCUUACCUUGAGUAGUGUGGGAUGAUUGGGUUACCGUUCAGUCUCGUUGAAAAUCGCCCUGUGUGCCGAGAACCGCUGUGAAAAAUCGCCUUGGUUGCCGUUCACUCUCUUCGAAAAUCGCCUGCGCAGAGCUCUCGCAUCAAACUCACAAUUGCAAAGUGAGCCUUACACCCGGAGCCAUCUCUAUUUAUAGGGAGAGAGGUGUAACGGUACGCCUCAAAAGACUAAACGGCUCAUCAAUGCGCCGUCAGACGUGCUUUUACUGGCCACGCGUCACCUAGCUAAUGGCGCGGCUGACUGCACGCCAAGCACAGAAGACGAAGCGUCUCUCUUCCCCUAAAACCCUCUCAGCAUCAACGACCCCUCGAGUCCCAGGCCAAUCUCCCCAGAACGAAUCUACCGAACGGCAGGUUAUCCUCCUAACCGCCAUGGGGAACUAACUUCCCUUCCGAAGGACCUUCGGAAGAGAACUUGGGGGACUACUGUUUAUACCGGGAAGAAACGGCAUAUAACCACCGAACACGUGGACAGGAUCGAUAUUGAUCACAGAUCCUCUUCGGCAUGCUUCCUACCGAAGCCAUCUAUCUUGGCCUCUUUUUACCAUCGGACACGUGUCAUGCUUACAAUCCAUGUCCACAGUCCCACAUCGGAAUUAUGAGCACAGUGCACACCUCCCAAGGCCUAUUUAAGAAGACCCCUAUCCCCAAAAGGAGGGGAUCAGAACUAACGGUAUGCUAUCGAUUGAUCUGUCAGUUAACAUUACUAAAACCGUACUUACUAAAGCAUCGGAGAGCCUUCGGCCGGUACCCCAAGGACUUACCGAACGUGACCUUUUGUAGGUAUUCACCCCUCUGCAGUAGAACAUCUACCAAGGACAGUCACCUACCGAAGGCCUAAAAUCACUAAGUUGACGAAAGACGUGUAGAACCACUUUUUCGCAUCAACAGAAUGGUACUACACUCAUAAAAACCCAAUUUAUAUUUCCUUCCCCGAAAAAAAAAAGGGAGCCCGUAUUAUAUCAGUAAAAUCAUUUCCC